CGCGAGAGGAAGCCACGGCGGCGCGCCGCCGGCUGCCACGCUGUUGACUCCGGCGGUGGCUGCGGCACUCGCGAUGGCAUGCUCAGCUUCCUUGUCGGCGGCGAGGAGGCCAUCCUCGCAUGCCUCGGGCUGCUCUUUGCCCACCUUGGUCGACUUCUACACGGCCGGUCAGGAGCGGCGAGCAGCAAAAUCGCGAGGACAGUUGGAUCAACGCGCAGCUCUGGCACUCCUGCUUGAAGAUGUGUGACGCUGACGCCUCGGCGUCUGCAAGGUGGAGCCCAGGCUGGAGGCCGCGCGUUCUGCCCUUGCGCGAUGGCUGCGACCUAUGCGCUGGUGAUUGGUGACGAGGAAGAAGAGGGUGGAGCGCAUGCCCUCGAAGAACCUGAUGGCAAAUCACCGCCGUCGCAAGCUACCUUGAUCAUCAAGAUGGAUAGAACGUCUAGCCUGGGGACACGAUCGACUACAUGAAAGAGCUAGAUGAUAGCGAGGAACACUCCUAAGGUGACCAAUCUAGGCCACCCAGUGUCGUCACGGGAGAGCCGCGUCAUUGCUGCUGUAGCUUGAAAAAAUGGUGAGAACAGGGGACUAGCCGAGGAAUGUUGGCUGAUGGUUGCAGAGCUGCAGUUCGAGGUGGAGCGCAAGCAAGGGCCGUGGCGAUACCCGGGUGGAGAUCUACAGUGCCGCCAAGCUGGGUCGAUCGUUUGCCUGCUUUCUUGACCCUCUCUUUACAGAUGGCUAAUUAUUUCUUCUGCUGCAUCAGGAACACACCGGGUACGGCGUUAGCUCACUCACCUCCCUAUCUAGCCCUAACUCUGCAAAACAAACCAGGUUCAAUCAAUCGAUCCAAGAGACAUACGUGGGAGUUUAUGAUACAGGCCUUCCAUACGUAAAUAGCCCAUGUCGAUGAGGAGAGGAUAGGCAUGUACGGAGCAGAAAUAUUUUUUUUCCUUUUCAUUCAAUAUUUUUUGGCUACCAAUCUGAUCUCAGUCGGGUGCGGCGCGUUUAGUUCGCUCAGGAGGGCACGCUGGAUCUGUGUCCAUUGCAGUUUUCCACUAAUUUGGUUCCUGAUCAAUUUUAUCGGUUUGUCGGGCGGCGGAUCGUUUCUAUCAGCUGCUUGCAUGAUGUGUAGGACUGGACGCGUGAUGUCACUACCUGCAUGCAUCAAUUGUUUCCCGUAUCUUCUUGACGGGCGUUCAAUGUAGGCGGUUGUGCCUUUUUCAAAUCUCCUUUGUGUGUCAUUGUUGUGCCGCUUUGAUUCCUAUUUUUCGGUGGCCCGCUUUGGUGACCAUUUAAUUGGUGCCUUCAUUGUGGGUCUAUAAAUAUGGAGAUUUAGUAUUGGGUUGUUUCACUGAUGCGUUUGAUUCCUGCUUCAUGGUGAUCCCCGCAGUUCUCGCCGUCUUGGGUCCUCCUUGUGGCAUCCGUGUUGGUGUUGUUGGUCAUGCCCAUGGUUGGCGAGCUGCUGCUGAUGGUUGGAAUCCUGAUGGUCGUGCCCGUAGUUCUUCUAACCAUGGCUGAGUUGCUGCUGAUGGUUGGAACACCGCCGCCUUGUGAGGAUGCGGACGGCUUUGACGACGUCCACACCGUGUUCUUGCAGGGGCAUCACCGCCUCCGUGUGGAGUGACCUCACGAAGGGUGUCCUCUAAUGCGACUGAUUUUAUUGCCGGUGAGGAGAAAGAGCAUGCACCCAUGGUUUUCAACCGUGUCCUGCAGCCGGAGGAACUCAGAAUCCUGCGAUAGGCCACCCACACGAUGGAAGAGAUCCACGCGUACCAGAAAUAACUGGAAGAAGGUUGGUACCAGCCGGUGUAGAUGCAUAUAUAUGUCUUAUCAUUUGGUCCAUCAAGUAGCAUGCAUGCAUGUCGGAAUAGUAGGGCACUUGACAAUGUUUCUUGAUCUUAAUAUGAACACUCUUUGCCUGUAAUUUGUGACUUGUAAGUAUGAUGUAUGUAGUACAUCCGGGUACUCUAAAGAAGGUAACUUCCGACACUAUGAUUAGUUAGUUCUCAAAGUCACACAUACUUGUUUCGCAAAAUAGAUGGUUUGUCACUAUGUUUUGGUAAUAAUUGUUUUAACUAAUGGUGUAUGGCUUUUCUUCAAAACUGUUCCAGUACAUACAUAAGGAAACUGGGUGCAAGCAGAAUUUGCGUUGCAUGUUUCUUUUUGUUUUGUGAUGACAUUUUCCAAGUUUUUUUUGACAUUUCAACAAGGGUCUCUAUUUAUAUAUUUAUGUGCUAUUCAACUAAAAUUUGAUUCAACGUGCACCUCUUGGCUCUCAAAUUAAGGCAUGUAUCUUUUUUUUGUUCUCUCCAAAAUCAGUGGAAAAAGAGAAGAGCUUAGGAUGUUCAU